GAUGAACGCUGACAGAAUGCUUAACACAUGCAAGUCAACUUGAACUUCGGUUUGGGUGGCGGACGGGUGAGUAACGCGUAAAGAACUUGCCUCACAGUUAGGGACAACAUUUGGAAACGAAUGCUAAUACCUGAUAUUAUGAUUUUAGGGCAUCCUAGGAUUAUGAAAGCUAUAUGCGCUGUGAGAGAGCUUUGCGACCCAUUAGCUAGUUGGAGAGGUAACAGCUCACCAAGGCGAUGAUGGGUAGCCGGCCUGAGAGGGUGAUCGGCCACAAGGGGACUGAGACACGGCCCUUACUCCUACGGGAGGCAGCAGUGGGGAAUAUUGGACAAUGGACCAAGAGUCUGAUCCAGCAAUUCUGUGUGCACGAUGAAGUUUUUCGGAAUGUAAAGUGCUUUCAGUUGGAAGAAAAAAUGACGGUACAC
rnacentral:rRNA from 1 species